GGAAUAGCUCAGUUGGUAGAGCAUCGGUCUCCAAAACCGAGUGUCGGGAGUUCGAUCCUCUCUUCC
rnacentral:tRNA from 1 species